AGCGAACGCUGGCGGCAGGCCUAACACAUGCAAGUCGAACGGACCCUUCGGGGUUAGUGGCGGACGGGUGAGUAACACGUGGGAACGUGCCUUUAGGUUCGGAAUAGCUCCUGGAAACGGGUGGUAAUGCCGAAUGUGCCCUUCGGGGGAAAGAUUUAUCGCCUUUAGAGCGGCCCGCGUCUGAUUAGCUAGUUGGUGAGGUAAAGGCUCACCAAGGCGACGAUCAGUAGCUGGUCUGAGAGGAUGAUCAGCCACAUUGGGACUGAGACACGGCCCAAACUCCUACGGGAGGCAGCAGUGGGGAAUCUUGCGCAAUGGGCGAAAGCCUGGCGCAGCCAUGCCGCGUGAAUGAUGAAGGUCUUAGGAUUGUAAAAUUCUUUCACCGGGGACGAUAAUGACGGUACCCGGAGAAGAAGCCCCGGCCAACUUCGUGCCAGCCGCCGCAGUAA
rnacentral:rRNA from 1 species